AAUAGGUGAAAAUGUUGAACCAAUGGUUCUCGAAGAAGCUGCUAUGAGAAGUAGUCUCAUUCAACAGAUUGUGGUUGUAGGCCAGGACCAACGACGACUAGGAGCGAUUAUAGUUCUCAACAAGGAAGAAGUGUUAUCUACAGCAAAAGAUGUGUCUGCUGUAAGAUUCUAGUUUCUCUGAUCUUAGCAACGAAACACUUACAAACAUGAUUUAUAGUGAAGUAAGAAAGUGGACCUCAGAUUGUCCCUUUCAAAUUGGACCAAUCCUCAUUGUCAAUGAACCAUUCACGAUCGAAAACGGCUUAACGUUGAAGGUUCGAAGAGACAAAGUUCCUGCUCCCUACAAGAAGCAAGUAGAGGAUCUGUUCAAGUAACUUGGGAAUUCGUAGCUCUGUUCAUUUUCAGGUAAGAAAAGCUCAUAAAUUUGGAGGCGGCACAAGCUUUGAGAUUAUUUGAUGUUUAAGAAUCUCUUUUUACCAUUUUAACUCUAUUGUAAAUAAUGUCCAUUGUAAGCUUGUUUGUCAUGUAGAUAAUCGUGACCAGACGAAGUCAAUCUCGGAUAAAUCUCGAAAAAAUAAAUAAAUGAUUAUAAUAACUCUUGAUUUUUCCCAAUAAAA